GACGAACGCUGGCGGCGUGCCUAAUACGUGCAAGUAGAACGCUGAAGGAGGAGCUUGCUUCUCUGGAUGAGUUGCGAACGGGUGAGUAACGCGUAGGUAACCUGCCUGGUAGCGGGGGAUAACUAUUGGAAACGAUAGCUAAUACCGCAUAAUAGUAGAUGUUGCAUGACAUUUGCUUAAAAGGUGCAAUUGCAUCACUACCAGAUGGACCUGCGUUGUAUUAGCUAGUUGGUGGGGUAACGGCUCACCAAGGCGACGAUACAUAGCCGACCUGAGAGGGUGAUCGGCCACACUGGGACUGAGACACGGCCCAGACUCCUACGGGAGGCAGCAGUAGGAAUCUUCGGCAAUGGACGGAAGUCUGACCGAGCAACGCCGCGUGAGUGAAGAAGGUUUUCGGAUCGUAAAGCUCUGUUGUAAGAGAAGAACGAGUGUGAGAGUGGAAAGUUCACACUGUGACGGUAUCUUACCAGAAAGGGACGGCUAACUACGUG
rnacentral:rRNA from 1 species